AAGGAAACCACAUUGAGCGGCGUCUCGCCCGGCUGCAUUUGACCAGAUUGACCUCCAAAGGAUACCUUCAGCUGUCGAUUUCCAUUUCCUGGAUCACCAGACGGGACCAUGCUCACUUUCAUACCCUGUGAAAAUAAGUCUUGCCCAAAAUGUCUUCCCAGCUCAGCGGAAUAUAUUUCACUCCAGGAUUCCCUUCCAUACCGGCCUCUUGGCGACUCCCCUGGGUUGGCUGGUUUCCGGCGGAGGCGAGUUGUGCGGCAGAAAUAUUGACGUUGAUGGGGGCGGGUCCAGGUCCAACGUUUUCACAGAAUGCAUUUGGAGCGGCACGACCUCGCGGUGGGGCACAAGUUGCAUUGUUCCGACUGAGCAUCUGCAUUUGCAUCUGGGUCGACGGGGUGGCCGCCGGUCCACCGAAUCCUUGACGGGGUCGACAACAGUUGGCGGUUCGCCCGACUUGUUGACGUUGGCGAGACGCCAUGGUCGGUUGGCUGUAGCCCGUCCCUCCGUAUGUGCCCUGUUGUUGUUGUUGUGAGUAUCCCAUCAUGUUUGGCUAGAGAAGAGAAGGGUAAAGUCGAAUAAGUUCUGAUCUGAUAAGUUCUUAUACUUACCAGAGAAGCGUAGGAAUCAAAGCCACGCUGAGUCCCUCUUGGGUAAAUUCCAGUGCAAGAGUUUGAGGGGUUCGCCAUCGUUCGUCCGGAUCGGUUGUAAUUGUUCAUUGUUGAGUUUGAUGAAGGUGUGUGGUGUUGCGAGUAGAUGCAAAAAUGGGUGAAAAGUUUUAUUACGACGUGUGACGACAAAACAAAAUUAGGAGACGAAUUACAAAUUCGGGCGAAAAGUGGGACUGGUGAAAAAAUUCGUCAUUAUAAAAAUAUCAUUCAAAUGAUGAGAUGAAGGUUGUUGAAGCAACGGAAUCCUUAUGAAAAUAAAAUGCAAAUGAUUUUAUAAGGUUAGUAGUGUCCAAUGAAUAUCUUUAAUAAAUGUUCAGCUCGCCGGAUAUAACAAACAACAAUAACAUAUUAGAAAAUUUGAAAACCCAACAAAUGCGAAAAUUAGUAUCAAAGUAGUGGCAGGCGUAUAUUUUUUGGAAUUAAUUU